rnacentral:rRNA from 1 species
UACGUAGGUGGCGAGCGUUGUCCGGAUUUACUGGGCGUAAAGGGAGCGUAGGCGGACUUUUAAGUGAGAUGUGAAAUACACAGGCUCAACUUGGGUGCUGCAUUUCAAACUGGAAGUCUAGAGUGCAGGAGAGGAGAAUGGAAUUCCUAGUGUAGCGGUGAAAUGCGUAGAGAUUAGGAAGAACACCAGUGGCGAAGGCGAUUCUCUGGACUGUAACUGACGCUGAGGCUCGAAAGCGUGGGGAGCAAACAGGAUUAGA